rnacentral:lncRNA from 1 species
UAUAAUUUAUUGUGAGUUCUUUCAUUUUGAUGGAUUCCAAAGCUACAAUGAGAUAGUUGUAGGAUUUUGGUAAGCUCAUGAGUAGAGUCAUGAUAAUAUCUACAUUUUCUAAGGAAUUCUCUAGGAUUGUAAGUUGGUUUGUAGGUACCUUUAUUUUAUUAAUGUUUGCCAUGAAGUCUUUACUUUUUUUUAUCUUACAAGUGAAGAACUUCUUUGUUGUGAGAUGAUGUUAGAUAAGUUCUUGCUUCAAU